ACCCCCAAGACAUGCUAACCUCUCACCAUUACAAUAACAGGGGAGGUUAGCAGUUUAUAUCAUACCCCAAGACAUGCUAACCUCUCACCAUUACAAUAACAGGAGAGGUUAGCAGUUUAUAUCAUACCCCCAAGACAUGCUAACCUCUCACCAUUACAAUAACAGAGGAGGUUAGCAGUUUAUAUCAUACCCCCAAGACAUGCUAACCUCUCACCAUUACAAUAACAGGAGAGGUUAGCAGUUUAUAUCAUACCCCCAAGACAUGCUAUCCUCUCACCAUUACAAUAACAGAGGAGGUUAGCAGUUUAUAUCAUACCCCCAAGACAUGCUAACCUCUCACCAUUACAAUAACAGGGGAGGUUAGCAGUUUAUAUCAUACCCCCAAGACAUGCUAACCUCUCACCAUUACAAUAACAGAGAAGGUUAGCAGUUUAUAUCAUACCCCCAAGACAUGCUAUCCUCUCACCAUUACAAUAACAGAGAAGGUUAGCAGUUUAUAUCAUACCCCCAAGACAUGCUAUCCUCUCACCAUUACAAUAACAGAGAAGGUUAGCAGUUUAUAUCAUACCCCCAAGACAUGCUAACCUCUCAUUACAAUAACAGGGGAGGUUAGCAGUUUAUAUCAUACCCCCAAGACAUGCUAACCUCUCAUUACAAUAACAGGGGAGGUCAGCAUUUUAUCUCAUACCCCCAAGACAUGCUAACCUCUCACCAUUACAAUAACGGGAGGUUAGCAUUUUAUCUCAUACCCCAAGACAUGCUAACCUCUCACCAUUACAAUAACAGGGAAGUUUAGCAGUUUAUAUCAUACCCCCAAGACAUGCUAACCUCUCACCAUUACAAUAACAGGGAAGUUUAGCAGUUUAUAUCAUACCCCCAAGACAUGCUAUCCUCUCACCAUUACAAUAACAGAGGAGGUUAGCAGUUUAUAUCAUACCCCCAAGACAUGCUAUCCUCUCACCAUUACAAUAACAGAGGAGGUUAGCAGUUUAUAUCAUACCCCCAAGA